rnacentral:lncRNA from 1 species
UUUUUGCACAGAACAAGAUUUCUUGAGAAACAAUAAAAUGCGACUUGUAGCAACAUACAAAAUCAAGUCAACAUGAAGAAGCUGAUCAUCUGCUGCAUUUUGCAAAGUUCGGUGGAAUCUGAUUUCUGACACCUCUGCUGRAGACUGCUAUUUCUAUUCCUGUUACUAUGGAAACAAUUUUGGACCACCAAACAUGCCAUAAGGAACAUAUAAAGCAUCACUUUUUCAACUGAGAUAUCAAGUGGACCUGCGAAACAUCCUGUCGGAGCAUGUGGCCAGCACAAGGAGCCUAGGCACUGACUUCUACAGCUGCAGAGUUUUAAUUGACCCCUUCAUUUGAAGGCUUUUCCAACUCGAAGUACAUUUUGUUGUCUAUGAGCUGAGUGCCAUCAGCAGGAUGAUUUGCUGAGUAAGUCCAGAAGACACAGAACUUCACAUUCAAGCUUGUCU